CGUGGGGUGCGAGCGUUAAUCGGAAUUACUGGGCGUAAAGCGUGCGCAGGCGGUUUAGUAAGACAGGCGUGAAAUCCCCGGGCUCAACCUGGGAACUGCGCUUGUGACUGCUAAGCUAGAGUACGGCAGAGGGGGGUGGAAUUCCACGUGUAGCAGUGAAAUGCGUAGAGAUGUGGAGGAACACCAAUGGCGAAGGCAGCCCCCUGGGUCGAUACUGACGCUCAUGCACGAAAGCGUGGGUAGCAAACAGGAUUAGAUACCCUGGUAGUCCACGCCCUAAACGAUGUCAACUAGGUGUUGGGAGGGUAAAACCUUUUAGUACCGGAGCUAACGCGUGAAGUUGACCGCCUGGGGAGUACGGCCGCAAGGUUA
rnacentral:rRNA from 1 species